rnacentral:rRNA from 1 species
GACGAACCGUGCGAACGUUGUUCGGAAUCACUGGGCUUAAAGGGUGCGUAGGCGGUCAACUAAGUCAGUGGUGAAAGGCAGCAGCUCAACUGUUGCACUGCCAUUGAUACUGGAUGACUUGAGUACAGACGAGGUAGGCGGAAUUUUAUGGUGUAGCGGUGAAAUGCAUAGAUACCAUAAAGAACACCGAUUGCGAAGGCAGCUUACUAGGCUGUAACUGACGCUGAGGCACGAAAGCGUGGGGAUCGAACGG